rnacentral:rRNA from 1 species
AUUGAACGCUGGCGGCGGGCCUAACACAUGCAAGUCGAGCGGAUGAAGGGAGCUUGCUCCUGGAUUCAGCGGCGGACGGGUGAGUAAUGCCUAGGAAUCUGCCUGGUAGUGGGGGACAACGUUUCGAAAGGAACGCUAAUACCGCAUACGUCCUACGGGAGAAAGCAGGGGACCUUCGGGCCUUGCGCUAUCAGAUGAGCCUAGGUCGGAUUAGCUAGUUGGUGAGGUAAUGGCUCACCAAGGCGACGAUCCGUAACUGGUCUGAGAGGAUGAUCAGUCACACUGGAACCGAGACACGGUCCAGACUCCUACGGGAGGCAGCAGUGGGGAAUAUUGGACAAUGGGCGAAAGCCUGAUCCAGCCAUGCCGCGUGUGUGAAGAAGGUCUUCGGAUUGUAAAGCACUUUAAGUUGGGAGGAAGGGUUGUAGAUUAAUACUCUGCAAUUUUGACGUUACCGACAGAAUAAGCACCGGCUAACUCUGUGCCAGCCGCCGCCGUAAAAC